GACGAACGCUGGCGGCGUGCUUAACACAUGCAAGUCGAACGGAAAGGCCCUGCUUUUGUGGGGUUCUCGAUUGGGGAACGGGGGAGUAACACGUGAGUAACCUGCCCUUGACUUUGGGAUAAAUUUAGGAAACUGGGGCUAAUACCGGAUAGGAGCUCUUGCUCCAUGGUGGUGGUUGGAAAGUUUCGGCGGUGGGGGCUGGAAUCGCGGCUUAUCCGCUUGUUUGGGGGGUAGGGGCUGACGAAGGCUUUGACGGGUAGCCGGCCUGGGAGGGGUACCGGCGACAUUGGGACUGCGAUACGGCCCAGACUCCUACCGGAGGCAGCAGUGGGGAAUCUUGCAGAAUGGGCGGACGCCUGAUGCGGCAACGCCGCGUGCGGGAUGACGGCCUUCGGGUUGUAAACCGCUUUCGCCUGUGACGAAGCGUGAGUGACGGUAAUGGGUAAAGAAGCACCGGCUAACUACGUG
rnacentral:rRNA from 1 species